GGUAGAGAUGCUUUGUUCAUGGCGGAAGCACGUGCCACUCCACUUGCAUAGUUGCACACCCCACGGCCGCGGUGCGUCGGUGCGGUUGAUCCCGCCAACAAGGCAACAACGGGCGCCCGCCCCCGUCCUGUCAUCUCCGCUCGCCACACCAGUCGCCGUCGGCCGUCGCUCCUCUCCUCCACGCCUCCCUCCCUACCUACCUACCUCGCCUUGGCAUCCCCGCAAGGAAUAUCCCUUCCAUAGCGUCCCUUGCUUCUUUACCACCCCACCCUGUAUUCGUGCGUCCCUGCCGCUUAAUUUCCCGGUUUCUCUGCGCUCUUUCGUCAUCUUGGAUCUUGGUUGCCUCGGGUGGUUCACAGGGUAAUCAUCGAGCAUAGAGUUCAUGUUGCCUGAUUACCUUAGUUGCUACUAUGCGAUUUAAGGUGUUACACAACUUCAUGCUGGAUAAAUUAGGUCGUGGGAGGACUUUAAAAACUAGCUGCCUGGUGUUUCUUUUUCUCCUUCAUUCUAGUGAACUCACUUUCAGAAGCUUGUUUGCAAUAUGUCUUACACGAACUGUUUGAAGAAGCAUCCCUAUAGAAUUUUCUUUCGAUAUGGCAACUCCAUCCUCAGAGCUUCUUUAGAGAAAGGCUCACCACAAAAGUUACUUAUGGACUAUAGCACUUUGCUCCAUUUCACUGCUUUCUGCCCUGAUUACAGAACCUACGCUUUCCUUCUCAGAGCUUGUGCAAAAUGCUCAGACCUCUAUGCUGCCAUGGAAAUCCAUUGUCAUCUCACUAAAGUUGGGUUGCUAUCUAAACAGCAUAUAACACCUCCUCUGUUCAAGUUAUAUAUUUCUCAUGGUUACAUGUUGGAAGCAUGUGAAUUACUUUGGUCAAUGCUGGAGUGGAAUACCGAUCCCUUCCAUGGCAAUCUGAUGCUUAUGGGAUUCCUGAAGAGCGGACGGCUAGAUAAGGCAUAUCAGAUUUUCAAGAGGAUGCCUGUCAAGGACUUGAUCUCAUGGAAUUCAAUGAUUGCAGGUGCAGUAAGGAGCUCGCACCUAAAAGAAGCAAUGAAUAUUUUUAGCAGGUUGGUUAGUUCAGGCCUUGUGCCUGAUUGCUUCUCGUUCUCCUCAGUUCUGUCAGCAUGUGCUCGAGCUGGUGCUCGACGAUAUGGAGUGUGGGUGCAUCACCUGAUGACUGAACUGGGGGUGGAAAUGAAUCAUAUCUUGAGCUCAGCACUUGUUGACAUGUAUGCCAAAUGCGGAAGAAUUGAUGUAGCAACUGAGAUAUUCAAUAAAGUCAAGGGAAACCAUAUUUCUGUCUGGAAUACUAUGAUUAGUGGCUUGGCAUCGCAUGGUCUUGGAUCCGAUGUAGUCAUUUUGUUCCACAAGAUGAAAAGUGAAGAGCUGGUUCCUGAUGGGGUUACGUUUGUUGCACUCUUGACAGCAUGCAGUCGCUGUGGCAUGGUUGAAGAGGCUCGGCAUUACUUCAGAUCAAUGACUACAGAGUAUUCUAUCACGCCAGAGGUUGAGCACUACGGUGCCUUGGUGGAUACGUUGUCGCGAGCUGGGUUGCUGGAUGAAGCAUACGAGUUGGUAAUGUCGAUGAAUGUAAAGCCUGAUGUUGUGAUAUGGAGGGCAUUACUUAGCGCCUGUCGCAGAUAUCGCCACACAAAACUAGGUGAGGCCACUAUUGAGCAUAUGGCAUGCCAUGGCAGUGGGGAUUAUACCCUUCUUUCAAACAUCUAUUCAUCAGCAAAUAGAUGGAAUGAUUCAGAGGAAGUAUGGAAACAGAGGAAACAAAAGAAAGUUAGGAAGACCAAAGGCUUGAGUUGGGUUGAGUUAGGGGGAAGCACCCAUGAAUUUAAAGCUGGUGAUAGAUCUCAUCCUGACACCGAGGAUAUAUACGUAGUGCUGCAUGGAUUAUGCAGAAGAGCUAAGGUUGAAGGUUAUGCUCCAUUGACUGAACUAGUAACAAAAGAUGUCUCCGAAGAGGAAAGAGAAGAAAACCUUACCUUCCAUAGUGAGAAGCUAGCAGUGGCUUAUAGUGUCCUGAAGACUGGUCCAGGGACAGAAAUAAUGGUUUCAAAGAAUUUGCAGGUUUGCAGUGACUGUCAUGAAUGGAUGAAGAUAAUCUCAAAGGUACUUUGCCGUGUUAUUAUUCUGAGGGAUAGAGUUCGGUUUCACCGGUUUGAAAGUGGAUGGUGCUCCUGCAAGGAUUACUGGUAGGCCUUUCCUGGAGCAAUACAGAUGUAAUCCAGCUAAUACAAAACGAGCAGUUCCUAGGGGAUACAUCUGACCUAAUUACUUUCUCCAUCUGGAGAAUUUGGUGCUGGUUCUGCUGCUGCAUAGCAAUGAAAUGAAAUAUUUGGACAUUUGGUUACUAUAUAGUUUAGCUCUUUGGCACAGCACAGGGAACCAAGGAAAGGACUAGAUGACCGACACAUGCACGUGUAUUGUACACUCCAAAGCAAUGCAAGUGAUUAGUGAGAUAAAUCAAGAGAUCAAAAUCUCUACGUUGGAUUUGUGUUUUAUGAUUCAUUCAGCACCCUUAUGUUUUCAGAUGCUUGACAUGUGAUGUCUUGUUUUGGGUUUUUUUCGAUGAUUACUUGUGUCGACAUGAUAUGUGGAUUAAUGCUGAAGUGUUAUCCAAUAUUCAGUGAAAACGAGGUACUGAAAAAUAGGAGUUGCAAUGCCUUUGAUGCCCCAUUCAUCUGUUUUUGCAUGUCCUUGUAUUUGCUGCGAGAACUUCCAUCUACUAAGACACUCUAUAGGAGACACUUGCAGCAUCAGAUGGCUUAAAUGCCAUAGCAGAUUAAUAUAUGAAACUUUCCUCUCAAGCAGAAGACAUCAAAGUAAACCUCUUAGUACAACAGUUCUAGCAAGAAGCACAAGAAAAAUUUGGAGAACUUAUUCCCAUUCUGCUAUAAUAGGUGUGGAGUUGUCAGAUGGACGGCAAACUAGUUCUCUGGUUACUCCUAAUGGGCAUUCCUUUGAUGUAUCCUUUUUCUCAUCUUUGAGUUCCGACUGUGUGAAGUAGAGAUGCCUAGUGAUUGACUCUUUGUGGAUACUCUUCCUAUUGCAAGACAAUUGGUGGAUUCUAAUGAAUUCUAUUGGAUCCAAACGGUGCCUCGGUAAUGCAGUGAGGACCCAGAGAUAGAGAUGAGGAACUGAGGGUUAAAGUGAGGGACAAGAAGAUUCGAGUAUUUUACAAUUUCAGUAUUUGUUUUAUAUUUGAUAGUUAAAGUUAGAAGACAAGAAGACUAUUGUUCUGUGCGGAAUCACUGGUGAGAGACGACAGAAGCUUUCAGGCUGUUAUUAUUUGCCGAUUUCUUGUUUUUAUAUGUUUUUAAAAUUUUUGAGUAAGUUUUACCUCUUCAUUUGGAGCAAUUGGUGAAUAGUGAAGAUAUUGCUUCAUGACGGCGUGUUUCAUAUAUAUCAUUAUGUAAUGUUUUGU